UACGUAGGGCGCAAGCGUUAUCCGGAAUUAUUGGGCGUAAAGAGCUCGUAGGCGGUCUGUCGCGUCGGCUGUGAAAUCCCGAGGCUCAACCUCGGGUCUGCAGUCGAUACGGGCAAACUGGAGUACUGCAGGGGAGACUGGAAUUCCUGGUGUAGCGGUGAAAUGCGCAGAUAUCAGGAGGAACACCGGUGGCGAAGGCGGGUCUCUGGGCAGUAACUGACGCUGAGGUGCGAAAGCGUGGGGAGCAAACAGG
rnacentral:rRNA from 1 species